CAUGAGACACUGGGAAAUUUCUCUAAAGUAUGAAAAACCUCUUCUCUUCUGCUGCCAUCAAGUCUGAAGUGAUGGAAAGCUUUGCAUUAAGAAGAGCAGCGCCAAGUUCUCAGGUUGACAACGGUUUCUACCAAUUAGACCUGAAAAGGAUACAACUGACUUAAAGGUCGUCAACUUUUAAACGAGAUGUUCUGCAGAACGGACAACGUUGACAUGACAUUAUGGAGACACAUCAUGACGGGAGAGCACUUUGUCACAAUGGUGAUGUGUGAACUUCAGAAGAGUUGGAUCCCAAGUUUGAACACGCUGCCAAGAAUGUGGCUUCCUUUUUAGAGUAUCCAGAUGUCUCAUGUCUGUAGAAAUGGGCUUUUCAAAUUGUUUAUUUGUUGGUUUAUAUCAGGACAAGAAAGAGUACAUUGCCUUCUUGAAUCUAAUUCAAGUUACUUCCAGAGUCUGAGAAACAUGCCAUACCUUCAGACACUUAUUUUUAUCUGCUCUGUAGCUGACUUUUAUUGACUGGAUCAAAGCUAGACUUAUUUUAAAAGAAUAAGCAAAAAUAAAACCAGAAAUCUCCUUAUGUUAAGCCAAGUCAAAGGUUUAAGGUCGUUUCACAAAAACAUUAGGGGAUGAAAUAGAAGAGGGGAUAUCAUCUGAAGCUUUUAUAACCUUGAUGCUUCACCAUAAGCACCAAAGGAAAUCAAACAGAAUCUUCAUGGCUUUUCUCCAUCGUGUGCAUAUGUUGGUUCUGCCUCAGGGAUCUGUAGACAACUGUAUUCGUAUGCAGAUUCCACCAAUGACCAUCAGUAAUGGCAAUGGAAUUUCCAAGCUUUGGGGACUGCAGGAGAGGCAUUUAAGGUGUAGAAGACAACUCCGACCCCACACUGAUCACGGAUGUUCUGCUUUUAAAGAUGAGUGAGCCAGCCAAGCUGUAAGGCUAAUCACUCUGGGAUAUCCCGUCUCGCUGCAGAAACAAAACAUGGAAAUGAAUCAGUCGAUAAAGGAUUUUCUCCUAUUAACGAUGUUGGCGAUUUUGUCCCAUGGAGGGGAAGUGGACCAUUAAGAUGAAUGUUCAAAAUCUAUAGAGAUCGCAGUUACUCCCCCACCCCCUGCAGCUGGAUGCAAACUUUUGUGUGUGUGAUAAAGAAUGUCAAGCUAAAGUUAAAUGCAUUUUAUCUAAGUAUGGUAAUAAAUC
rnacentral:lncRNA from 1 species